UGUUUCAGGAUUAGUCAAGUUCUGGUUUCACUUCAGAAAAAUCUGCGUUUUGAAACACUGGGGAGGAGGGGAAUGAUUUUUACCGGCUGUACAAAUUAUGGACAAAACCUUUUCCUGGCCAAAAGGUCAGGUGCUACACUACGUACCGGCAGCAGUUGAAUCUCAGUGAAAGAGAUGACUUUAACCACACAGCAGCGGCUCAUGGUCCAAAAGAAGGCCUUCAGGACUGCGGUGAUUCUGUGACCUUUCAGAGCUGGGUGGGCGAUGGUCAGAUACUGAGCAAGCACAGCUGAGUGAAUCAGAGGGCUACUUUGACAGCUCGCAGGCUGGCAGAAGCCUCUCGGAUGACUGGAGAUCAGAGAAGACAGGCUGGAAAGCAGAAGUCCAGCUGAGAGAAGAUCAGAAGCAGCACAACUUCAACCAGAGCUAUUGUGAAGGAACGUAAUGGCUUAGAUAACUUUUUCCCCUCCGUCUUUCUUUCUUUUUUUUUUUCUUGUGAAAACUUACCCUUCAGAAUUUUGAAUUGCCCACUUUAAGGUCUGUGGGGCUUUGUCUGGCUUUGACAAAAGAGGCAUGUUUUUCUUUCCGCCUUGUCCUGAAGAGCCCGAUCUGUUUAAACGGUGUCACUCCUGCUUGAUGUUCUCCCGUCUGCAGCGGCGCUGGCUCAGCCCCGUUCGUUCGCCGUAGACGCGCGCGCUGUGGAAAUAAAAAUACGAUUAAAUGCGCAAACACGAGUCUGUAAAUGUGUAAAAUGGCUACAUUACAGUCGCAUGCAUAUGUAGACUUCAUUAAAUCUGCAUAUCUUUGUUUGUUUUGGUUUUUGAUGUUUGUGUGCGUCAAGAACUUUUAAGAAUUUUUAAGCUGAAUUAGCGUUUUCUUAAAUGUGUUAAAUUAACUCGAUUGUAAAUCAAGCCUGUGCCAUCUGUGACCCGGCGAAACAUACAGAGGGCUCCUGUGGUGUAAUGUCUCCCUCUGGUGGAGGAUGUGAUGAACAUCUUGCACUGCAUUACAUGCAUGUAUUAGUAUGACUUAAUUAACCUGAAGGUUUGCUCUGUUAGCAUUCACUCAAAUUGUUCUUACCGUAUAUACGUUUCUCUUUCUUUUGUUGAGCACCAAAAAAAAGCAUAUUUUGAAGAAUGUUGGAAACCAAACACUUACUGGUAGACAUCAACUCAAAGGCCAGACAGAAAAGAAACUCAUAUAGGUCUGGAGGCUGCUGGACAUCGCUCUGGGACCGGACCAAUCCUCAGCCCUUCAUUCACUCAAAGCAGAGAUCCGGCCGGGAUUGAACCAGCAACCUUUGCGUUGCGAGACAGCGCCCUAAUCGCUGAGCCACAGAGUUUACGUGUGAAGGAGCUUGUAUUUCAGAUUGCAGUUUCACAAUAAACUAGUUAAAGAGUCAUUUAACACGCAAAGGAGGGCUUGAACGCAAUGAGCAUCGUUUAGGGAAUAAAACUCAUAACAAACAUAAAAUAAUAAAUCCACAAGGCUCUAAUAACUGAGCCAGAGUUGGCUGAUUUCAUCUAUGUUUUGUUUGAAAUGAAAAGAAGCAUUUGCAACUCAUUUAUAUCCAAGAGACAUGGUUGGGAUUGAACCAGCAACCUCUGAAACUAAGAGACAGCUCUUAUAGCCUUAUAGUUGAGCUAGCUGAAGUAUGAUCAUCUGCAGUGGGGUUUGAACUCAUAUCAUCACCAAAGCAUUGCACUUGAAGAAAGAGCCAUCUCACGCUGGUUGAACGUAGCAUAAGCAACAGUGGGCUUUGAACUCAAUACACCACGAUUAAACAGCAACACUUUAUCGCUUUCCAGCCAGACGUCAGUCGGUGUGUGCGGUAAAUAAAGCACUGAGUGACGCGCGUCACACAAUGAUGGUGAUUGGCUGUGGAAGAUGAAUAUUUAAUUAGCUGUCUGAUCAAGCUGUGGGUGCUUAUGAGGGUAACAUUUUGAAUGCAAUAUAGUUAAUAGUAGUUAUAGUUCUGGCUGCCAUUCUCUUCACUUAACUAAGUGAUUUCGUGAUCUUAUUUUCGUUAAUUUUAAAAUAAGUCUGAAUUAGUGUUACCCUUGUGGAGAAUAGUGUUCUCUUUGAACUACAUUUGAUGCACUUCAUAUGUUAUUUUGGGUGUGAGUUUUUGCAUUUAAAAGCCGUUUCAAAGGGUUGUUUACAACCACUUUAUUUGUUGUUUUUUAUCGUGAUCCUUCUGAAGAAAACAGUAUAUUGAAAGAAGAGGCUGAAGAGUGCCUUGUUUUUUCUUCUGUGAGCUGAUUGGAUGAAGUGAAGUAGGCGUUUCUUUCAAAAAUGAGCAGUUGCAGAUCUGAGGGGUGGGGCUUGCAUGGACUCAUUGUUCACCAGUUGUUCACUCAACAGUGUGAGCUAACAAUGAACUUUAAUUAAACCCUCUAGUGGUGACUUUUGUGAAUUACACCGCUGCGUAUCGAGUCUAAUGAACUUAAAUUAAUUAAACCCUCUAGUGGUGAUGUUUGUGAAUUACACCGUGGCGUAUCGAGUCUAAUGAACUUUAAUUAAUUAAACCCUCUAGUGGUGAUGUUUGUGAAUUACACCGCUGCGUAUCGAGUCUAAUGAACUUAAAUUAAUUAAACCCUCUAG